CUCCGCGGCCCCACAGAAAGCAGGAGGAGCUGUUCAGCAACUUGCAGAGACAGCCAGAGAGUGCUUCAAGGACUGCAUGGAGCUCUGGAGAAGUGGCAAAUUCAGGACCCUCUUUUGUGGGGCAUGAGAUAUAUAGGCAGGAUCAUUUCUACCAAAGAGGCUGUCACUUUGGCUUAUCAAUACUUUCAUCUCCCUACCCCUUCCAGAUCACAGUGGGUGCUUUACUUGUUUUUAUGGAUUAUUGUGUCAACCAAGAUGAGAGGUCAGAAUCACCCUAAAGAUUUGAAACUUCUUCAAGAUUUGACAAAUGCGCAUUUUAAUGCCCCUCCUAUUUUCAGGAAGCUGUGGCUAAAGAAAACAUUUUAUUAUAUAGCAUUGCCCAAAUUACUUAUACAGAAUUUUAAAAA
rnacentral:lncRNA from 1 species